rnacentral:rRNA from 1 species
GACGAACGCUGGCGGCGUGCUUAACACAUGCAAGUCGAACGGAAAGGCCCUGCUUUUGUGGGGUGCUCGAGUAGCGAACGGGUGAGUAACACGUGAGUAACCUGCCCUUGACUUUGGGAUAACUUCAGGAAACUGGGGCUAAUACCGGAUAGGAGCUCCUGCUGCAUGGUGGGGGUUGGAAAGUUUCGGAGGUUGGGGAUGGACUCGCGGCUUAUCAGCUUGUUGGUGGGGUAGUGGCUUACCAAGGCUUUGACGGGUAGCCGGCCUGAGAGGGUGACCGGCCACAUUGGGACUGAGAUACGGCCCAGACUCCUACGGGAGGCAGCAGUGGGGAAUAUUGCACAAUGGGCGGAAGCCUGAUGCAGCAACGCCGCGUGCGGGAUGACGGCCUUCGGGUUGUAAACCGCUUUCGCCUGUGACGAAGCGUGAGUGACGGUAAUGGGUAAAGAAGCACCGGCUAACUACGUG